AGAUGUCGUGGCAAUCAUACAUAGAUGAUCACUUGAUGGCGGAUAUUGAAGGUAACCACCUCGCCGCCGCCGCCAUCCUCGGUCAUGAUGGCAGUGUCUGGGCUCAGAGCACUACCUUCCCUCAGGUCUUUUUUUUUUUUUUUUUUUUUAUAUUUAAUUGAUUCAUGUAUUAAAAUGCAUUAAUAUGGUAGUUUUUUAUUGUCUCAUAGAUCAAAUCAUUAACUGUCACAAACAUGUCAUGUAGGAAGACUGAUAGUGAGCUACUGUAAAUAGUACUAUUCUUCGGAUGAUAACUUUGGUAUAUUUCAUUUAGUAGAUAUAAGCUAGUUAACUAAUUAAUUGUAGGAGUGUGGUUGUUUAUGACAUUUUACUUGAACAUACUAAAAUACAGUAUUUAUAGGAUAAAAAAUGUGAAAAUUUAAAAUUUGAAUUAGUAAAUAAAAUGAGGUAAGACAUGUAGCCCUCGUUUGGCUCCCAUUCUUUCCAAAUUUUAAUCGAUGGAAUAGUGUUUUUAAAAAAUGUGUGGUUGAAAAAGAAUGAAAAGUUUUUUAUUUGAGUAUAAUAUUAUUUUAUGAAAGAUUGUGUGAUUGAAAAUAAGAGAAAAAACUGAGAAGGAGAGUUAUACAUCACAUCAAGUCACCAUAUUUGAUUUUUUUAUCUCUUGUAUGGAGCUCAUAAUGACUAUAUUUUUCAUUCUCAUUUUUACAAUAAUGUGGCUAAAAAAGAGGCUUAAUUAAUCCAAGUAAAAAACUUGAAACAGAUUAAAAAAAAUCUUUCAAAAAAAAAUCUUUCUAAAUGUACAUUCUGGUUCACAUCCCACAUUAUCAAAUUUAAAUUUGGCACAAUCUCACAAUAUCUAUCAAUCUCGCACAUUUAAUUCAACCAUUAUAAUACUUUCAUGUCAUCAAUCUGUCAACUAAAGGGUCAAACAAGGUGUACGAAUAGUUUAAUCCAAAAUUUAAAGAAAAAUUGAUACAUGGCUGUUUUCUUCAGGUGCUGAAACUGUGAUUAUACUUGUCAGUCAGUCCAUGGGCCAGAGUGUUAAAAGUGGAACUUUUGCAAAAGUAGAAGUUUUAUCUCUGCCAAACGGCCCAAACCUUCUAUUACUGGACACUGUUGGGCUAAUGGUGACCCAAAAUGAGCCCAGUCUAAAGACCACCAAGAAAGAUACUAAUACGUUGGAAAAAGAGUAUGACUACUUUCCUUGUGUCGACCAUUGAAGUUAUUUGAAUCGACCCAACUCAAUCUUAUGCACCAAUUUCUUGAAUGUGAAUUGUGAAUAAGUCAAAUUGAUUGUCACUUGAUUGUAUUUAUUGAUUUCAAUAUCGCAAUUAUUUGAAACUCGUGCACACAUAAGAAUUUUGCUUAAAUACGCUCCUUUAGUUUUCUAUCAAUAUAGCCUCCUUAGAGAUUUAUGAUAUAAUAUGAGGCUUGUUUGGUAGUGAUUAUGAGAAAUGAUUUUUUGACCGUAAAAAGAAAAGCGAAUCCCACAUGUGAGUGAAGAAAUGAAAAAUAAAUUUUAUUUGUGAGUGAAGAAGUAAAAAAUAAUCGCAGAAUAGUGAAAUAACGAUUAAAAAAUUAAUUUUUUGGGGUGAAAAAUUGCUAUUAAACGAGGGCAUGAUGGAGAAAAAUCGUGGUCAAGUUCCUUGUCUCCAUUUAAUAACAUAGAAGGGAAAAGUCAUAUACAGAAAUCGCAACAAAAAUUUAGAGGCUUGGGGGAAAAUAAAGUUUUCUUUAUUGUAAAUCCAGCUUUUUUCAAAAGAAUAGUUUGUGUAUGAAUGUUCGUAAUAAAAUAUCUUUUUAUGGGUAAAGUUCAUCCAUUGACAUCAUCGAUAAACUUAGAUUUUUUGUGAAAAAAAUAUCACUUUCAUGAAAAAAAUUCGUGGUUGAAGUUGACCCCAAAAAACAAAAAAAAAAACAAAAAACCAAAAACAAAAAAAACCAAAAACAAAAAAAUGAAAAAAUGGAAAAACAAAAAGCUGGAGUUGUAACAAGAAUUCCAGUCAAUUUUGAUUAAAAUUAGUCAAAGUUGAACGUGUUAUAAAAUACUUUAUAAAUAAAGUAAAUGAAAAUUACAAUAUUUUAGACAUUUAAAGAUCAGAAUGCGCGAAAAUCAUGUAGGAAAGUUUUUUAUUCAAAAUUCAGGUAUUAAUUUAAUUAUUAAUAUUAAUAUAAAAUAAUUCAAUCCUAUUUCAAUUCAUCCCAAUUUUAUUCUAAAUCCUAGGUUAAGAUCAGACUCUCCUCUCUCACCACUCCCUAUGAUUGGCGUCGCUGCAAGAAGACCGACGUGAAACUGAACCACGUCUUUUUCUUUUCUUUGAGAAAGUAAUCGUACUCCAAUUCUCAAAUCUCACGUAAAAGUACGUACAAGAAUCAAAAAUUCGAAUAAAUCGAAGAUGUCGUGGCAAUCAUACAUAGAUGAUCACUUGAUGGCGGAUAUUGAAGGUAACCACCUCGCCGCCGCCGCCAUCCUCGGUCAUGAUGGCAGUGUCUGGGCUCAGAGCACUACCUUCCCUCAGGUCUUUUUUUUUUUUUUUUUUUUACAGUUUUAUUUGUCGAAUGGUUUUCGUUUUUCAGUUCAAUUUUAGAUCUUCUGAGUAUUUA
rnacentral:lncRNA from 1 species